CCUACGGGUGGCUGCAGUGGGGAAUAUUGCACAAUGGGCGCAAGCCUGAUGCAGCCAUGCCGCGUGUGUGAAGAAGGCCUUCGGGUUGUAAAGCACUUUCAGCGGGGAGGAAGGCGUUAAGGUUAAUAACCUUGUCGAUUGACGUUACCCGCAGAAGAAGCACCGGCUAACUCCGUGCCAGCAGCCGCGGUAAUACGGAGGGUGCAAGCGUUAAUCGGAAUUACUGGGCGUAAAGCGCACGCAGGCGGUCUGUCAAGUCGGAUGUGAAAUCCCCGGGCUCAACCUGGGAACUGCAUUCGAAACUGGCAGGCGAGAGUCGUGGAGAGGGGGGUAGAAGUCCAGGUGUAGCGGUGAAAUGCGUAGAGAUCUGGAGGAAUACCGGUGGCGAAGGCGGCCCCCUGGACAAAGACUGACGCUCAGGUGCGAGAGCGUGGGGAGCAAACAGGAUUAGAUACCCUUGUAGUC
rnacentral:rRNA from 1 species